GACGAACGCUGGCGGCGUGCUUAACACAUGCAAGUCGAACGAUGAAGCCUAGCUUGCUAGGUGGAUUAGUGGCGAACGGGUGAGUAAUACGUGAGUAACCUACCUUUAACUCUGGGAUAAGCCUGGGAAACUGGGUCUAAUACCGGAUACGACCAAUCUCCGCAUGGGGUGUUGGUGGAAAGCGUUAUGUAGUGGUUAUAGAUGGGCUCACGGCCUAUCAGCUUGUUGGGGAGGUAACGGCUCACCAAGGCGACGACGGGUAGCCGGCCUGAGAGGGUGACCGGCCACACUGGGACUGAGACACGGCCCAGACUCCUACGGGAGGCAGCAGUGGGGAAUAUUGCACAAUGGGCGCAAGCCUGAUGCAGCGACGCCGCGUGAGGGAUGACGGCCUUCGGGUUGUAAACCUCUGUUAGCAGGGAAGAAGAGAGAUUGACGGUACCUGCAGAGAAAGCGCCGGCUAACUACGUG
rnacentral:rRNA from 1 species